CCGAAAGGCAGGAGUGCCCGCGAGGGAGCGCGGAGACAGGUGGUGCAUGGCUGUCGUCAGCUCGUGUCGUGAGAUGUUGGGUUAAGCCCCGCAACGAGCGCAACCCUCACCCCUUGUUGCUACCAGGUAAAGCUGGGCACUCUAGGGGAACUGCCCCGGUCAACGGGGAGGAAGGCGGGGAUGACGUCAAGUCAUCAUGCCCCUUACGUCCUGGGCUACACACGUGCUACAAUGGCCGGUACAAAGGGAUGCCACACCGUGAGGUAGAGCUAAACCCAAAAAGCCGGUCUAAGUUCAGAUUGGAGUCUGCAACUCGACUCCAUGAAGGAGGAAUCGCUAGUAAUCGCGUAUCAGCACGACGCGGUGAAUACGUUCCCGGGCCUUGUACACACCGCCCGUCACACCACGAAAGCCAG
rnacentral:rRNA from 1 species